rnacentral:ncRNA from 1 species
UAGUGUCCUUGCACAUGAAGAUUUGAUUUUCAGGGAGAUGUUUUAGCAUCUAAUGAUUUUAUUACAAUAAUGUAUAAUAAUAUAUUAUUUUUUUAUUAAAAUAUAAAAAUAAUUUUAUUUUAAUUACACUAAUUAAUAUAUUUUAUAUUAAAGAUAUUUAAUUAAUUAAUUAAUAAAUUAAUAGUGCCAGCAAUCGCGGUUAUACUUUAUAUUAAUUAUAUUCAUAUAAGUUGAAUUAUCUUAUAUAAUUAAAAUUACAAUUUUAAGUAAAAUUUAAUUAAAAUAUUUAAAAAAAACAAUUUCAAAUAAAUUUAAAACCAAAAAUAGGAUUAGAUACCCUAGUAUAUUAAUAAUUUUAGGUAAUAAAAUUAAACCUAAUUAUUAUGGCGGCUAUUGCAUUAUUAGAGGAACUUGUUAUUUAAUCGACAAACCCCGUUAAUUUUCACUUUGAUAAUAAACCUAUAUACCGCCAUUAAAAGAAAUUUUUAUAAAAAUUUCUCCAAAUUCUUUUUAAAAAACUAGGUCAAGGUGUAGUUAACAUUAAAGUCUUAAAUGAGUUACACUAAAAUAAAUUUAAGAAAAUUAAAUAAAAAAAUUCAAUAGAAAUAGGAUUUAUCAGUAAUAAUUUUAUAUUAUAUUAACAUGAAUAAUAUUGCAAAAGUGCACAUAUCGCCCGUCACCCUUAUCAUAAGAUAAGGCAAGUCGUAACAUAGUUGAUAUUUUGGAAAAAGUAUCAAGAUCAAAUAAGCUUCAAUAGC